rnacentral:snRNA from 1 species
GUGCUCGCUUCGGCAGCACAAACACUAAUAUUGGAACGAUACAGAGAAGAUUAUCAUGGCCCCUGCACAAGGAUGACACGCAAACUCGUGAAUCAUUCCGUAUUUAA